UACGUAAGGGGCGAACGUUAUUCGGAAUCACUGGGCUUAAAGGGUGCGUAGGCGGCUCGGCAAGUUGGGUGUGAAAGCCCUCGGCUCAACCGAGGAAUUGCGCCCAAAACUGCCGGGCUAGAGGGAGACAGAGGUGAGCGGAACUUAGGGUGGAGCGGUGAAAUGCUUUGAUAUCCUAAGGAACACCGGUAGCGAAAGCGGCUCACUGGGUCUUUGCUGACGCUGAGGCACGAAAGCUAGGGGAGCGAACGGG
rnacentral:rRNA from 1 species